rnacentral:piRNA from 1 species
UAUCCACGGCUCAGGGACCAUUGCGGAU